CCUACGGGAGGCAGCAGUAGGGAAUAUUGCUCAAUGGGGGAAACCCUGAAGCAGCAACGCCGCGUGGAGGAUGAAGGUUUUCGGAUUGUAAACCUCUUUUGGUAGAGAAGAUAAUGACGGUACCUAACUAAUAAGCACCGGCUAACUCCGUGCCAGCAGCCGCGGUAAUACGUAGGGGGCAAGCGUUACUCGGAAUCACUGGGCGUAAAGAGCGCGUAGGCGGGAUAGCAAGUCAGAUGUGAAAUCCUAUGGCUUAACCAUAGGACUGCAUUUGAAACUGUUAGUCUUGAGUACAGGAGAGGUAGGUGGAAGUCUUGGUGUAGGGGUGAAAUGCGUAGAGAUCAAGAGGAAUAC
rnacentral:rRNA from 1 species